GUCGAAAAUUCACAUUACAUUUUUGAAAAACUGGUUAAGUUUUGCUCAUAUUUAUUUAGUCUUUCCGCAGAGUCUGAGUGUAAAAACCCGAAGCGUCGCAGAGGUAGCGUAGGAUCYGCAAAGCGUGAAGGGCCGCUCCGGCACAGAAGACGUCUGUGUGCACGGAUGGAAAGCUCUCUGCGCUUCUGCCCCUCGCUUAAUGCAAAAUCAUUCGUCCUCGAGAGCCAGCUGGGAGAGAAGGCGGUAACAGAUGCAGUGUUCUCGGCUGCAAAGCCCUGUUGCCUGUUACUGCAGCAAGUCUUCAUCCAUAGGCUUCCYGUGC
rnacentral:lncRNA from 1 species